AAUUGGGUUCACUAUGUAUGGAGCAACGUUUAGGCUGAACUUUAAAUAGGUAAGGAGGCAGCUUUAGGCUAAACUGAAUUUAACAUGAGAAUAAUAUUAAGGUCUAGAGAAUGUUUAGACUGUCGAUGGUACUGCCGCUCACUGACAGCCUAAAUGGGCUGGGCUUGUCCCCUGAAAGAUAAAACAAGGGAAACCAGCUCCCUAAAUUAAAGGCAUAAAUCGUUGUCCAAUCCCAAAACCAAGACACCAUGGAGUGUUGAUAGAUUUUUUCCAGGUAUCAUCGCUGCGAUUCUACCUGUAAAAGAACACCUUGAGAAGACGCCAUUCAUCACUCUGUCUGGGGGGGUUAGUUGCUUCUAAGCCAGCUAUCUCGAUGAGAGUUUGAAGAUCUACAUUGAAAUCUUUUACCUAAGAAACUUAGUCCUUACCCAUAAACCCAGGAGAAGAGGGGGAGCACGCAUCAGAGCUAGUAAAUAUAGAAAAAGUCAAACAUUCCUCAUCAAGGCCUCGGAAGAAACCAAAGAAACCAAAAAAACACCAAGGGAGAAAAUGUCCACUGAAACACGUGCCUGCCUGGGUGUGAGGAUAUCCUAUGACAGUCACUGUCGCUCAGGCAGAGCUGAGAUCUAACUGUGCUACCCAGCCUGGAGUCCAGUGGCUUUUCACAGGUGCAAGCAUGGCACACUACAGCCUCCUGGACUCAAGAGAUCCUCCGAACUCAGCCUCCUGAGUAGCUUGGACUCCAGGCAUACACCACUGCUCCCAGAAGAUUCUGUUAAUCCUUCAUCCGGGUCACCGCUAUCUGACCCAGCCCCCUGCUGCUGCCGUGCACAGACAGCACAUUCACUGCUGGAGGCUACUGUAAGAGAUGAAAUGGCUGGAAGUCCAGCAGGCAACCUGGGCCAUCAUGUUACCUUAAGAAGGGAUGCCCCACACUGAGAUGGUGGAGCCAAAGGUGGAAGGCACCUGAUGUCCAGGAGGGAUGAAGGCAACUCUGUCAGCCCCAGCAGUGGAGGCAACAAAAAAAUGGCUUGGGAGUUGGAGCCAGAUAUAAAAGCUGCAGACACGGGCCCAACAGUCAGAGGGGUGGCAAACAACAGAUGAAAUGGAUCAGGGAAGAACAGAGGCCCUGGAAGGAAAACACACUUCAAACACCAAGAGGUGGGAGAGUGUUACUAUGGCAAUGCAGGGCUUGGGGCUGGAGCGGCAGAGGGGCUGCUGAGAGCCAGUGAUGAAAACAAAACACAAAGGGAGGAGAUGCCCAAUCUGGAGCUCUGCCAGAGCAGGGUGGGCACCAACUCUCUCUCCUCAUCCCUGGCUUGCCGGCCGCUCCAGCCCCUCCAACUCCCAACGAUAGAAUGCAACUCUCAAAGCCACAGCAGAGCACAGAACAGCCCUGACCUGGCCUCCCCAGCCCUUUCAGCAAGUACAGCCCUGGCUUUCAUUUAUCUGGGAAGGAAAAUCGUGCUCUCCUGCCUGCCUCUAGGACUUAGCUUCUUCCGAGCCCACCAUUUGGAAUUGUGUUUCCCUCCUCUGCUGCAGCAUUGAGAAGAGACAUUAUCUUCUUCCUUCCUUCUUUUUUACUUCUUUUUAUUAUUAUUAAUUUUUAAUUUUGAGACAAGGUCUCAUUAUGUUGCCCAGGCUGGCCUCAAACUCCUGGGCUCAAACAAUCCUCCCGCCUCGGCCUCCCAAGUAGCUGGGAUUAACAGGCGCACACCACACCCAGCUCCCUUUCUUCCUUGUUAUCUUUCCAUUUUUAUUUUGUGCUAGAGCCCCAAAUUACGGAAGAUUAUGUGACAGCAGUGAGAACGUAUCACAUCAAACUCAGAUAUGCAGGAAAAAAACUGGCACUCUUAAUUUUCUCUAACUGCUUUGAAUUUGCUCUGACACCCAUAUUCCUGUUCAGAAUUGGGAUUGCUGAGGGGCAAAGAUAGAGAGAAGAGGACAUAAAUCCACCAAAUAAAGGAAGCUCAACCUGGUGUCGUCUCAAGCCAUCUUUCUUAGGGUAACCCCAUUUCUUUGAGGUAAAUACCCCACCUUUAGAGUUUCUUGCUCCUGCUGGCCAGUGACAUCUGGGAGUCUGUUGGGGUCAGUGGAUGCAUCUGCAGGGUGCUGAGGACCCCUGGGCCCACAGGCCUGCCGUGUGUGUUUCCUGGGCCCUCCAGGCCUCCUCAGGAGCCUUCUUGGGCUCUACCACCAGACACUCCCCUGGUACUUGCUACUCUGGUCUCCCAUGGGGAGGCGGUGGUCAGCCCCUCUCAGAGUCUGCACCUGGUGGGCCUUUCUCGUUGACCUAGCCCU
rnacentral:lncRNA from 10 species